rnacentral:rRNA from 1 species
AUUGAACGCUGGCUGCAUGCCUUACACAUGCAAGUCGAACGGCAGCACGGGAGCAAUCCUGGUGGCGAGCGGCGAACGGGUGAGUAAUAUAUCGGAACGUGCCCAGCCGUGGGGGAUAACGCAGCGAAAGCUGUUCUAAUACCGCCUACGAUCUACGGAUGACAGCGGGGGAUGGCAAGACCCUGCGCGACUGGAGCGGCCGAUAUCCUAUUAGCUAGUUGGUGGGGUAAAGGCCCACCAAGGCGACGAGCUGUAGCUGGUCUGAGAGGACGACCAGCCACACGGGAACUGAGACACGGUCCAGACUCCUACGGGAGGCAGCAGUGGGGAAUUUUGGACAAUGGGCGCAAGCCUGAUCCAGCAAUGCCGCGUGCAGGAUGAAGGCCUUCGGGUUGUAAGCUGCUUUUGUACGGAACGAAACGGCCCUUUCUGAUACAGGGGGCUAAUGACGGUACCGUAAGAAUAAGCACCGGCUAACUACGUGCCAGCAGCCGCAGUAA